GACGAACGCUGGCGGCGUGCUUAACACAUGCAAGUCGAACGGAAAGGCCCCUUUGGGGGUACUCGAGUGGCGAACGGGUGAGUAACACGUGAGUAACCUGCCCUUGACUUCGGGAUAACUUCAGGAAACUGGGGCUAAUACCGGAUAGGAAUCCUUGCUGCAUGGUGGGGGUUGGAAAGCUUCGGCGGUUUUGGAUGGACUGGCGGCUUAUCCGCUUGUUGGUGGGGUAGUGGCUUACCAAGGCUUUGACGGGUAGCCGGCCUGAGAGGGAGACCGGCCACAUUGGGGCUGAGAGACGGCCCAGACGCCUACGGGGGGCAGCAGUGGGGAAUAUUGCACAAUGGGCGGAAGCCUGAUGCAGCAACGCCGCGUGCGGGAGGACGGCCUUCGGGUUGUAAACCGAUUUCAGCAGGGGCGAAGCUUGUGGUGACGGUACCUGCAGAAGAAGCACCGGCUAACUACGUG
rnacentral:rRNA from 1 species